ensembl:lncRNA
GGGCGGUGCGCGGCCAUUGCGUGGCGCUGAUUGGCUCAGACGCGCCGGCCACGCCCACCUGCAGCAGGUGCGGGGCGCUGAUUGGUGCGCUGGAGCCGGCCACGCCCCCGCCGGCAUCGCCCCCCCCGCAGUCGGGGCGCGGCCGCCGCCCCGCACGGACGGGCUCGCUCCGCGCUCCGCCAUGGCCGACUCCGCCGCGCAGUCCUCGCUCGUCUCCUCCAGCUCCUCUUCCACCUCCGUGACCUCCUCCUCCUCCUCCUCCUCCUCCUCCACGCGGGCCGGGGGCUGCGUGGGCGGCAGCUCCAUGUCGUGCGCCGAUCCCCCCAAUUCUUCCUCUUCCUCCUCCUCUUCCUCCUCCCAGCCCGUUUCUCUCUUUGCGGCUUCACCAGCAGCGCCGGGCGGGCGCGACCGGGGGGCGUCCCCGGCGGGGGGGAACCCCCAGAGCCCCCCGGAGUCGCCGGAGUCGCCGUUCGAGGUGGUCCCGGACCGAGCCGCCUUCGACCGCGAGUUCGGCCCCGCGCUCGGCCAGAUCCCCGAGGGCCGCGUGUGCCACUUCCCACCCAAGCCCCGCGGCGUCCCCGGCGGUGUUCCCGGCGGUGUCCCCGGUGGUGUCCCCGGGCGGGGGCUGGCCCGGCCGCCCCCCGGCUCGGCGGCGGCGCUGGAGGAGGUGUCGCGGUGCGUGCGGGAGAUGCACAGCUUCACCAGCGAGCUGCUCUCCUGGGACCUGGUGGAGCGCGGCAACGGCGCCGGGGACGGCCCCGGGGACAGCCUCGGCGGUGGUGGCACCGGGGACAGCCUUGGGGACGACCCCGGGGACAGCCCCGGCGGUGGCGGCACCGGGAACGGCGUUAACGGCGUUGGGAACGGCGUCACCGGGGUCACCGGCACUGGGAAUGGCGUCACCGGCACUGGGAGCAGCAUCACCGGUAUCGGGAAUGGUGUCACCGGUAUCGGGAAUGCUGUCACCAGUGUCACCGGCACUGGGGGUGACAUCACCAGCACUUGGAAUGGUGUCACCGGCCUCACUGGCACUGGGAAUCGUGUCACCGGCAUCGGAAAUGGCGUCACCGCUGUCACCGGCAUCGGGAAUGGCGUCACCGGUGUCACCGGCAUCGGGAAUGGCGUCACCGGUGUCACCGGCACUGGGAGCGGUGUCACCGGCAUCGGGAAUGGUGUCACGGGUGUCACCGGCAUCGGGAAUGGUGUCACCGCUGUCACCGCCGUGGGGAAUGGCACCGCUGGCGUCGGCAAUGGCAUCGGGAGUGGCCGGGGUGCCAUCGGGAGCGGGGUCACCGCCAUCACCGGCAGCAAGAGUGACGGCACCGCCGCUGGGAGCGGCCUCGCCGGCACUGGGAAUGUCCCCGGCGGUGUCCCCGGCGUAGGGGGUGGCAUCUUUGCGGUCCCCGGGGCUGUCCCCACCGACGCCGACAGCUCCGGGGACUCUGACGACACCGUCAUCGAGGAGGCGCCCGCCGCUGUCCCCAGGGAUGUCCCCCCCAGGGAUGUCCCCCCCAGAGAUGUCCCCCCCAGGGAUGUCCCCCCAAGGGAUGUCCCCGGGGCUGUCCCCGCUGUCCCCGCUGUCCCCAAGGACAUCCCCGUCCCCGCCGCCUCCCGGGACCAGACCCUGCCGGAACUGGCGGAGCCCCCCCGGCCCGCCCCGGCCGGGCCCCUCCCCCGCCUGGCAGGUAAAGCCCCAGCAGAGCCUUUUCCAGCCCAAAAUGGGGGGGAGGGGGCUGUGAAUGGACCCCAAAACGGGGGAAAAAUGAGGAAGAACGGGGAGACCCCAACCCAAAGUGCUGCUGGAGGGGGGGGGGCUCAGGAGCGCCUUGUUCUGGGGUGA